rnacentral:lncRNA from 1 species
UUUAUGCAUAUUUUUGGGCAAACUUUCAAAGAGUUCCAGGGCAGGACGAGCUGCUUGGCAACAGACUCAGUUUAAACAGUCAGGAUCACAUGGAUGACUGCCAAAACCAACUGAGUGUUACCUGCUCGGGAUCCUGGUUCUGCCCAAGGUCUCGCCCCGUUCAAGUGGAGUUCUUCUUUCCCACUGCUGAAAGGUUUUUGUUCAUAGGGGAUCAUGUUAUUUUAUUGACGUGAACUGAACUGAAUAUAAAAGGAUGCAGUGAUAUAUCUGCAGUAUUGGGGAAUUCUGUUUUCCUUAAAUUCGAAUGUGUCAUUGUUGGAAAAAAAAAACUAAAAUGCUCUGUAACACCUGCAAAACCCCAGGCUCAAAGCAUUAAAGACGCUUGGAAGCAUUUAUAAUGCAGUUUAUCAUCGGUUAUCGUGGCAAUUUUCCUCUUGUAAUCAAGAGUAAAUACCAGCCAUAAAAUGGUGAGUCAGAGAUAGCCAUGUUAUUAAACCUGUUCUGAAAAUCUGUGCAGCUCCACCAAAUUUCAUGCAACAGAAAUGAAUCACUGCAAGUCCUGCAUCCAUCUUAGUCAUAGUGGUAGCAGUGG